AGGAAUCCAGUUCCUUUUUAGAAGAGUAGAUAAUCACUUCCCUAAAUAUUUUGGCGCUCGCCAAUAGAAACAGAAACGGUGUGGGAAUAAACAAUCACCACACAUCAUUUUCUUAUC
rnacentral:sRNA from 1 species